rnacentral:rRNA from 1 species
UACGGGGGGAGCAAGCGUUGUUCGGAUUUACUGGGCGUAAAGGGCGCGUAGGCGGCGUGACAAGUCACUUGUGAAAUCUCCGGGCUUAACUCGGAACGGUCAAGUGAUACUGUCGUGCUAGAGUACAGAAGGGGCAACUGGAAUUCUCGGUGUAGCGGUGAAAUGCGCAGAUAUCAGGAAGAACACCAAUGGCGAAAGCAGCUCUCUGGGACGGUACGGACGCUGAGACGCGAAAGCGUGGGGAGCGAACAGG